AAAGGAGGAAAGGUUGGAGGGAAGGGGGGGUUCGGGGGGGGAGAGGAGCAGUGGCUGGGAUCAAUGGUGCCUUGGGGAUUUGCAUCUGGAGGCGGCCACUCCCAAUUCCUGAUGGGAGUCCUGGAAACAGAACUCCGUGAGAAAUGCAAAUACUGCAGCUGGAGCGCUGAGAGUGGAGAGUCUGCAGUGAAUGUCGUCUGGAGCAGGGACACGCCGUGAGGAUGAGCCACAGGGAUUCAGUCAUCAGACCAGGACAGGAAAAAUCACCAAACUCCUCCCAUCUUUGCCAAAAUCUUCAGUGUUUAAUCAGCCAAAGCCAAGAGACGUCAGCACCAGGGGUCUGAGCUGGAGGGCUCUGGUCCUGCCCAGGCUGUGGAUGCUGGACUUACCUCUGGGGAUGAGCACUAAGCUCUCACUGCAGGGACCCGUCAGGCGUCGGUGGCUGUAAUGCCAGCUGUUUCUUGGUGUCCUUCUGGGCCGUCAAUGGCAUCUGUCUGUGCUGAAGCAUCUCCACAAGCCUGUUCAGAGCAGACCUGGCCAAGGGGCCACAGGCAGCCCUUUAGCCGUGUCGGCACAAGCACUGUCCUAGUACCCCGGUGCUCAUACCGGGACCUGUGUUCGGCAGGCUGCAGGCACAACUCCUCCCUGCAGAGCCCAAGGACGUGAGGGCUGCCUGCCCUUCGGGGGCUUUUGGCCUCCUCCAGGCCCACACCCGGAGCGGGAGCAGCGGUCCCCCUGGCCGUCCCGGAGCGGCUGCUCCCGGCCGUGGCGUGCAGCCCCGCUCGUUCGGCGGGAUCCCCCGGCGAUGCGGGCGCUGUGGCUCCCCAGGGAGUGCGGUGGCCCCAGGGCUACCGGGCCGGGGGGCUCGGUGUGCCCGCGGGGGUUGAAGGGCGGCGCCGUGUCCGCCA
rnacentral:lncRNA from 1 species